AUUGAACGCUGGCGGCAUGCCUUACACAUGCAAGUCGAACGGUAACGGGCCUUCGGGUGCCGACGAGUGGCGAACGGGUGAGUAAUGCAUCGGAACGUGCCUUUCCGUGGGGUAUAACGUCGCGAAAGUUACGCUAAUACCGCAUAUUCUCUGAGCAGAAAAGCAGGGGAUCGGAAGACCUUGCGCGGAUUGAGCGGCCGAUGUCGGCUUAGCUAGUUGGUGAGGUAAAGGCGCACCAAGGCGACGAUCCGUAGCGGGUCUGAGAGGAUGCUCCGCCACACUGGGACUGAGACACGGCCCAGACUCCUACGGGAGGCAGCAGUGGGGAAUGUUGGACAAUGGGGGCAGCCCUGAUCCAGCCAUGCCGCGUGAGGGAAGAAGGCCUUCGGGUUGUAAAGCUCUUUCAGCCGGGAAGAAGUCCCACGGGCUAAUACCCUGUGUGGAUGGCGGUACCGGAAUAAGAAGCACCGGCUAACUACGUGCCAGCAGCCGCGGUAACAC
rnacentral:rRNA from 1 species